GAAAUGCGAUAAGUAAUGUGAAUUGCAGAAUUCAGUGAAUCAUCGAAUCUUUGAACGCACAUUGCACCCGCCAGUAUUCUGGCGGGCAUGCCUGUUCGAGCGUCAUUUCAACCAUCAAGCCCCGGGCUUGUGUUGGGGACCUGCGGCUGCCGCAGGCCCUGAAAAGCAGUGGCGGGCUCGCUGUCACACCGAGCGUAGUAGCAUACAUCUCGCUCUGGGCGUGCUGCGGGUUCCGGCCGUUAAACCCCCUUCGUAACCCAAGGUUGACCUCGGAUCAGGUAGGAAGACCCGCUGAACUUAAGC
rnacentral:misc_RNA from 1 species